rnacentral:rRNA from 1 species
AUGCCAAGCUUGCUUGGUGGAUCAGUGGCGAACGGGUGAGUAACACGUGAGCAACCUGCCCUGGACUCUGGGAUAAGCGCUGGAAACGGUGUCUAAUACUGGAUAUGAGCUCUCAUCGCAUGGUGGGGGUUGGAAAGAUUUUUCGGUCUGGGAUGGGCUCGCGGCCUAUCAGCUUGUUGGUGAGGUAAUGGCUCACCAAGGCGUCGACGGGUAGCCGGCCUGAGAGGGUGACCGGCCACACUGGGACUGAGACACGGCCCAGACUCCUACGGGAGGCAGCAGUGGGGAAUAUUGCACAAUGGGCGGAAGCCUGAUGCAGCAACGCCGCGUGAGGGAUGACGGCCUUCGGGUUGUAAACCUCUUUUAGCAGGGAAGAAGCUUUUGUGACGGUACCUGCAGAAAAAGCGCCGGCUAACUACGUGCCAGCAGCCGCGGUAAUACGUAGGGCGCAAGCGUUAUCCGGAAUUAUUGGGCGUAAAGAGCUCGUAGGCGGUUUGUCGCGUCUGCUGUGAAAUCCCGAGGCUCAACCUCGGGCCUGCAGUGGGUACGGGCAGACUAGAGUGCGGUAGGGGAGAUUGGAAUUCCUGGUGUAGCGGUGGAAUGCGCAGAUAUCAGGAGGAACACCGAUGGCGAAGGCAGAUCUCUGGGCCGUAACUGACGCUGAGGAGCGAAAGGGUGGGGAGCAAACAGGCUUAGAUACCCUGGUAGUCCACCCCGUAAACGUUGGGAACUAGUUGUGGGGACCAUUC